rnacentral:tRNA from 1 species
GGAGAGAUGCCAGAGUGGUUUAUUGGGGCGGUCUCGAAAACCGCUGAUCCUUUACGGAUCCGGGGGUUCAAAUCCUCCUCUCUCCG